rnacentral:tRNA from 1 species
UCUAAGGAUGAGUGAAAGAGAAAAAUUUCACUCUAAAUAAUAUACAUCGGUAAUGUUGACCGUCCUCAUUUCUCUUCUUAAAGUAAUGUUUCCUUCUUGUAGGGCCGGUAGCUCAGUUGGUUAGAGCACACCCUUGAUAAGGGUGGGGUCGAAAGUUCGAGUCUUUCUCGGCCCACCAAACUUAAAUGGGGGAUUAGCUCAUCUGGGAGAGCGCCUGAUUUGCAUUCAGGAGGUAGCAGGUUCGAUCCCUGUAUCCUCCACCAGGAAACAUUUAGUUAUUAAAACUGUAAAUAAAAAUAAUUUAUAUCAAUAUCUAUAUCCGAACAUUAAAAGUUAUUAUUUAAUGUUCAAAAUAAAAAUUUGAUCACAACACAGAAAGAAUUUUUUUCUGUGCAUAAAU